rnacentral:rRNA from 1 species
UACGUAGGGGGCUAGCGUUGUCCGGAAUCAUUGGGCGUAAAGCGCGUGUAGGCGGCCCGGUAAGUCCGCUGUGAAAGUCGGGGGCUCAACCCUCGAAUGCCGGUGGAUACUGUCGGGCUAGAGUGCGGAAGAGGCGGAGUGGAAUUCCUGGGUGUAGCGGUGAAAUGCGCAGAUAUCAGGAGGAACACCAAUUGCGAAGGCAGCUCGCUGGGACGUGACUGACGCUGAGACGCGAAAGCGUGGGGGAGCAAACAGG